rnacentral:rRNA from 1 species
GACGAACGCUGGCGGCGUGCUUAACACAUGCAAGUCGUACGGUAAGGCCCUUUCGGGGGUACACGAGUGGCGAACGGGUGCGUAACACGUGAGUAACCUGCCCACAACUUUGGGAUAACGCUAGGAAACUGGUGCUAAUACUGGAUAUGUGCUCCUGCUGCAUGGUGGGGGUUGGAAAGCUCCGGCGGUUGUGGAUGGACUCGCGGCCUAUCAGCUUGUUGGUGGGGUAGUGGCCUACCAAGGCGGCGACGGGUAGCCGGCCUGAGAGGGUGACCGGCCACAGUGGGACUGAGAUACGGCCCAGACUCCUACGGGAGGCAGCAGUGGGGAAUAUUGCACAAUGGGCGCAAGCCGGAUGCAGCAACGCCGCGUGCGGGAUGACGGCCUUCGGGUUGGAAACCGCUUUCAGCGGGGACGAAGCUUUUUGUGACGGUACCUGCAGAAGAAGCACCGGCUAACUACGUG